AUUGAACGCUGGCGGCAGGCCUAACACAUGCAAGUCGAGCGAGCGGCGGACGGGUGAGUAACGUAUGGGGAUCUGCCUGAUGGCGGGGGAUAACUACUGGAAACGGUAGUUAAUACCGCAUACCAUCAGAUGAACCCAUAUGGGAUUGGCUUGUCGGUGUGGUAACGGCUCACCUGGGCGACGAUCCCUAGCUGGUCUGAGCGGAUGAUAGGCCACACGGUGACUGAGACACGGCCCAAAGUCCUAGGGGAGGCAGCAGUGGGGAAUAGUGCACAAUGGGCGCAAGCCUGAUGCAGUCAUGCCGCGUUGAUGUGGGAGGCCUUCGGGUUUUAGAGUACUUAAAGUCGGGAGGCGUUACCGACAGAAGAAGCACCGGCUAACUCCGUGCCAGCAGCCGCGGUAAUAC
rnacentral:rRNA from 1 species